rnacentral:rRNA from 1 species
GACGAACGCUGGCGGCGUGCUUAACACAUGCAAGUCGAACGGAAAGGCCCUGCUUUUGUGGGGUGCUCGAGUGGCGAACGGGUGAGUAACACGUGAGUAACCUGCCCUUGACUUCGGGAUAACUUCAGGAAACUGGGGCUAAUACCGGAUAGGAGCUCCUGCUGCAUGGUGGGGGUUGGAAAGUUUCGGCGGUUGGGGAUGGACUCGCGGCUUAUCAGCUUGUUGGUGGGGUAGUGGCUUACCAAGGCUUUGACGGGUAGCCGGCCUGAGAGGGUGACCGGCCACAUUGGGACUGAGAUACGGCCCAGACUCCUACGGGAGGCAGCAGUGGGGAAUAUUGCACAAUGGGCGGAAGCCUGAUGCAGCAACGCCGCGUGCGGGAUGACGGCCUUCGGGCUGUAAACCGCUUUCGCCUGUGACGAAGCGUGAGUGACGGUAAUGGGUAAAGAAGCACCGGCUAACUACGUG